rnacentral:lncRNA from 1 species
CACCCCCGCUCAACAGCAUGGAUAAGCGCAGCGUUCGUUGGACAUUUUAGCCUCACGUUAAAGACGGCAGAAUGUAAGAAUAAGAAGAGGUGGUAUAGAAGUGCCCUCGAGGAAGCGUACCGACUCUACAGGUGUUCACCAGAGCAAAGACUAGCAGUGUGCUGCCGACCAACGCGGGGUAUGCAGAGCUUCCUCCUCUCCUCAUCCAAGCGGGCUCCCGGAUGUGUGCCUCCUGUGUCUGCACACGUGACUCUGUCUUUUCCUUAUUAGAAACAGGCUUCUGUUCACCGUGAAGGGACGUUCAAGGGAAUUGAUAGCACGUGUCUUGUUCUCUGAGAUUAUUCUUAGUGACUAAACUCAGUUUCAACACAGGCCUGUAAUUAGUGCUUUCUGCUAUUUUGUUUACUCUUAGAUUCCACAAACCAUUGCUUCAAAACAUAUAAUUAAAAAUUAGAAACCACAGAUUUAAA